UUAUCGCAUUGUUUUUUUUUAAACAAACAAUGAGGAAAGUCUGGAAUCACUAGGGAUAACGCAACGGGUAACUCCCGUACAUCGUGAGAUGAGGAAUAGUGCAACAGAAAGUAUGUACAGUUGAGCUGUAGUGAAAUCAUGUAAACUCUGUGUUGUGAAAUGCCAAAUAUACCAGAAGUAUAGUAGUAUAGUUCAUCCCUAACUAAAUAUCUGGGGGGUAGGCAGAUCGAGAUAAAGGGUAACUUUUAUCCUAGAUAAAUGAUAAAUUAAACUGAAUCCGGCUUAUAA
rnacentral:RNase_P_RNA from 1 species